rnacentral:rRNA from 1 species
AUGAUUAUCAGUGCUUGUAUGAUGCUUCACAAUUUCAUCAGGGACAGCAAGCUACGCGAUAAAGAGUUUAAUAAAUGUGAUGAUAAUGAAAAUUACAUGCCUGCAGUCUCACGGUCAACACCUUUGCUUGGCGAUGUCGUUCCCACUUCAUCCGAUGAAGGCAACAUGAACGACACGCGAGAUAGGAUUGCGAGCUCUUUGUUUAUUGCGCGACAAGCUACGUAG